rnacentral:lncRNA from 1 species
AUGUAUGUUGAUUGUUCAUAUCAAACCAACAUAUAUGGAAGUUUUCACACUCACAAAUGGAGAAAACACAAAGUGUGUACAGUUGGAGAUUUAAAACCUGGAAUAGUUCACAGGUCAAUCGUCAAUCCCUCUGCUUUAGAUUCAAGUAACAGUGACACUGAGUUGAAUGAAGAUUUACUAUUUGAUGAACCAACUUUUGAAGAACCUAGAGAUUUGACAAAAGAUGUUGAGCUAAAAUUAGCCUCAGUUUUACUGAAAUUAGAACAUAGUUACCUGGUGUCAAGUGCAGCUGUAAAUUUACUCCUUGAGGAACUGCAAUAUCUCAUUGGGACUGUUUCUGUGCCGGUCACCCAGAAGACUAUCACUCAGUUUUUAGGGGCUCACAAUUGUCAAGUAGAUGGAUCACUUGUCCAAGACUUAGCCACAGAAAUCUGCACAUCACAUCCUAUUCAACUCGCUAUCGGAACACAAGGCCCAUUGUCUACUGCAUGGAAGCGCAACAAAUAUUAUAUUACUAAGUUUAGUGUAGUGGAACCAGUAGAAUUUGUAAUUGACCAAAAGAACAGAAGGUCUUUUCAAUAUAUUCCUGUACUAAAAACGUUGCAGCAGGUUUUGAACUGUGAGACUAUCCUAAGCAGUGCAGUUAAUUUGAACGAGAAACUUCAAUCAGUGUUAAGUGAGAAGCAGGUUUACAGAUGUCUCUGGGAUGGUGCAAUUUUUAAAGAAAACACACUUUUCUCAAAUGAGUGUGCCGUUUCCUUAAUCCUCUAUAUAGAUGAUUUUGAGGUGUGCAACCCCCUUGGCACAUCGCGUAAAAAACAUAAAAUCUGUGCCAUAUAUUGGAUUUUAGGCAAUCUGCCACCUGGUUCUCAUUCUUCGUUGUCAUCAAUCUACUUGGCUGCAUUGAUUAAUAGUGAUGAUGUAAAGUUGUAUGGAUAUGACAUUGUUCUAGAACCUUUGAUUAGUGAUAUCCUUAUUUUGGAACAACAUGGAAUAUUUGUGCCCAAGUUAGGGAAAUGUGUAAAGGGAACAAUUCAAUGUGUUGUUGCUGACAACCUCGGUGCCCACGGUAUUGCUGGUUUUUUGGAGAGUUUUUCUGGUGCAUACAUUUGUAGGUUUUGUACAGCUACGAAAUUAGAAAUUCAAACAAGGGACGUAGGGAGUGAAGCAUUCUCUUUGAGGACAGAGGAGGGUCACGGAAGACAUCUUAAAACCCUUGAGGAAGAAUCAUUGGUCAAUUGUUUUGGUGUUAAGAGGAGGUGUGUUUUGUCGGAAAAACUUACUCAUUUUAAUGUCACUACUGGCUUUCCACCUGACAUUGUUCAUGAUUUAUUUGAAGGAAUUGUUCCAGUUGAAGUAGCUCUGUGUCUCUCUGUGCUCACCUCAAAGUACUUUACUUUGAACUUUUUGAAUGACUCUAUAAAAACUUUCCCCUUCAAGUGGACUGAUAAAGCAAAUUGCCCCCAUCCUGUGCCACUGACCUACAAAAUUAGGAGAACAGUUGGUGGCAAUUCUCACGAGAAUUGGAGUUUGAUCAGGUUUUUGCCACUCCUCCUCGGGCAGAAAGUGCCUGCUGAUGAACCUGCCUGGAAUCUCCUCACUGACUUAAAGGACAUUGUGGACCUUGUUGUCACACCGGUGCAUACUGAUGAAACAAUAGCUUAUUUGAAUUUCAAAAUCUCUGAGCAUAGAGUGCGGUUCAAGGAGGUUUUCCCAGACACCAACUUGCUUCCUAAGCAUCACUUCUUAGAACAUUAUCCACAGCUAAUUCGUCAGUUUGGCCCUUUAGUUUCUCUUUGGACUUUACGAUUCGAAGCGAAGCAUAGCUUUUUUAAGAGAGUUGUGCGGCACACUCGCUGCUUUAAAAAUGUGUUGUUGUCCUUGGCACAGAGACACCAAUUAACCAUGGCACACCAUAUUUACACCUGUGGCUUUCCUAAACCUCUCCUGGAAGUGAAAAAGUUCUCAACUGUUAGCAUUGAUGUCCUGAAAGAUGAUAUUGCACGGGCUGUGAAACACAAGAACCCAAACGUGAAGGAAGUGUCUUUGGCCGAGAACGUCACCUAUAAUGGAUUUAACUACAGACUUGGAAUGAUCCUUGCUCAUGGUUCACUUGAAGGAAUGCCUGCAUUUAUUGAAAUCAUCCAGAUGGUGGUUCUCCAAAAGGAGUUGGUCUUCAUUGUUAGGAAACUAAGUGCUUGGUACCUGGAACACUUUAGAGCCUAUCAACUUGAAAUCUCGCCUACAAAGGAGAUAGAAGUUCUGGAGCCAUCUCAACUGACUGAUCCUUACCCUUUGGCAGACUACACAGUUGGGACAAUGAGGCUUAUCACCCUGAAGCGAUAUAUUCACGUUUAA